CAUAGGUUAAUGAGGCGAACCGGGGGAACUGAAACAUCUAAGUACCCCGAGGAAAAGAAAUCAACCGAGAUUCCCCCAGUAGCGGCGAGCGAACGGGGAGCAGCCCAGAGCCUGAAUCAGUGUGUGUGUUAGUGGAAGCGUCUGGAAAGGCGCGCGAUACAGGGUGACAGCCCCGUACACAAAAAUGCACAUGCUGUGAGCUCGAUGAGUAGGGCGGGACACGUGGUAUCCUGUCUGAAUAUGGGGGGACCAUCCUCCAAGGCUAAAUACUCCUGACUGACCGAUAGUGAACCAGUACCGUGAGGGAAAGGCGAAAAGAACCCCGGCGAGGGGAGUGAAAAAGAACCUGAAACCGUGUACGUACAAGCAGUGGGAGCACGCUUAGGCGUGUGACUGCGUACCUUUUGUAUAAUGGGUCAGCGACUUAUAUUCUGUAGCAAGGUUAACCGAAUAGGGGAGCCGAAGGGAAACCGAGUCUUAACUGGGCGUUAAGUUGCAGGGUAUAGACCCGAAACCCGGUGAUCUAGCCAUGGGCAGGUUGAAGGUUGGGUAACACUAACUGGAGGACCGAACCGACUAAUGUUGAAAAAUUAGCGGAUGACUUGUGGCUGGGGGUGAAAGGCCAAUCAAACCGGGAGAUAGCUGGUUCUCCCCGAAAGCUAUUUAGGUAGCGCCUCGUGAAUUCAUCUCCGGGGGUAGAGCACUGUUUCGGCAAGGGGGUCAUCCCGACUUACCAACCCGAUGCAAACUGCGAAUACCGGAGAAUGUUAUCACGGGAGACACACGGCGGGUGCUAACGUCCGUCGUGAAGAGGGAAACAACCCAGACCGCCAGCUAAGGUCCCAAAGUCAUGGUUAAGUGGGAAACGAUGUGGGAAGGCCCAGACAGCCAGGAUGUUGGCUUAGAAGCAGCCAUCAUUUAAAGAAAGCGUAAUAGCUCACUGGUCGAGUCGGCCUGCGCGGAAGAUGUAACGGGGCUAAACCAUGCACCGAAGCUGCGGCAGCGACGCUUAUGCGUUGUUGGGUAGGGGAGCGUUCUGUAAGCCUGUGAAGGUGUACUGUGAGGUAUGCUGGAGGUAUCAGAAGUGCGAAUGCUGACAUAAGUAACGAUAAAGCGGGUGAAAAGCCCGCUCGCCGGAAGACCAAGGGUUCCUGUCCAACGUUAAUCGGGGCAGGGUGAGUCGACCCCUAAGGCGAGGCCGAAAGGCGUAGUCGAUGGGAAACAGGUUAAUAUUCCUGUACUUGGUGUUACUGCGAAGGGGGGACGGAGAAGGCUAUGUUGGCCGGGCGACGGUUGUCCCGGUUUAAGCGUGUAGGCUGGUUUUCCAGGCAAAUCCGGAAAAUCAAGGCUGAGGCGUGAUGACGAGGCACUACGGUGCUGAAGCAACAAAUGCCCUGCUUCCAGGAAAAGCCUCUAAGCAUCAGGUAACAUCAAAUCGUACCCCAAACCGACACAGGUGGUCAGGUAGAGAAUACCAAGGCGCUUGAGAGAACUCGGGUGAAGGAACUAGGCAAAAUGGUGCCGUAACUUCGGGAGAAGGCACGCUGAUAUGUAGGUGAAGCGACUUGCUCGUGGAGCUGAAAUCAGUCGAAGAUACCAGCUGGCUGCAACUGUUUAUUAAAAACACAGCACUGUGCAAACACGAAAGUGGACGUAUACGGUGUGACGCCUGCCCGGUGCCGGAAGGUUAAUUGAUGGGGUCAGCGCAAGCGAAGCUCUUGAUCGAAGCCCCGGUAAACGGCGGCCGUAACUAUAACGGUCCUAAGGUAGCGAAAUUCCUUGUCGGGUAAGUUCCGACCUGCACGAAUGGCGUAAUGAUGGCCAGGCUGUCUCCACCCGAGACUCAGUGAAAUUGAACUCGCUGUGAAGAUGCAGUGUACCCGCGGCAAGACGGAAAGACCCCGUGAACCUUUACUAUAGCUUGACACUGAACAUUGAGCCUUGAUGUGUAGGAUAGGUGGGAGGCUUUGAAGUGUGGACGCCAGUCUGCAUGGAGCCGGCCUUGAAAUACCACCCUUUAAUGUUUGAUGUUCUAACGUUGACCCGUGAUCCGGGUUGCGGACAGUGUCUGGUGGGUAGUUUGACUGGGGCGGUCUCCUCCUAAAGAGUAACGGAGGAGCACGAAGGUUGGCUAAUCCUGGUCGGACAUCAGGAGGUUAGUGCAAUGGCAUAAGCCAGCUUGACUGCGAGCGUGACGGCGCGAGCAGGUGCGAAAGCAGGUCAUAGUGAUCCGGUGGUUCUGAAUGGAAGGGCCAUCGCUCAACGGAUAAAAGGUACUCCGGGGAUAACAGGCUGAUACCGCCCAAGAGUUCAUAUCGACGGCGGUGUUUGGCACCUCGAUGUCGGCUCAUCACAUCCUGGGGCUGAAGUAGGUCCCAAGGGUAUGGCUGUUCGCCAUUUAAAGUGGUACGCGAGCUGGGUUUAGAACGUCGUGAGACAGUUCGGUCCCUAUCUGCCGUGGGCGCUGGAGAACUGAGGGGGGCUGCUCCUAGUACGAGAGGACCGGAGUGGACGCAUCACUGGUGUUCGGGUUGUCAUGCCAAUGGCACUGCCCGGUAGCUAAAUGCGGAAGAGAUAAGUGCUGAAAGCAUCUAAGCACGAAACUUGCCCCGAGAUGAGUUCUCCCUGACUCCUUGAGAGUCCUGAAGGAACGUUGAAGACGACGACGUUGAUAGGCCGGGUGUGUAAGCGCAGCGAUGCGUUGAGCUAACCGGUACUAAUGAACCGUGAGG
rnacentral:rRNA from 1 species